AAACUACUUAAGUAGUAUAGUAGUAUAGCUUACUAUUAACUCUUGAUCUGUACAGUUUGAUUUGUUGGUACAUUAAGGGGUUGUUUGGUAAGCGGAGUAAAUUAUUCCGGGAUUAUAUUUUUGGGAGAUGGGAUAAAAUAAUUCCAAGGUUAGUGGGAUAAGGUGGGAUAAAAUAAUUCCAAGGUUAGUGGGAUAAGGUGGGAUAUCCCAUCCUUAAGAUUGUGCCUCAUUUUAUACUCUGUUUGGUAGAACAUAUUUGGUAGAAGGUAUAAAUUUAUCCUAGGAUAAAUUUAUACCUUUUACCAAACAUGGUACAAAAAAUUAGUGUUGAGAUAUUCCAGCUUAUACCAUGCACCAAACGACCCCUAAGUACUAAAUUUAUGUGUUUGAUUGGAUACGGAGAUAAAGAAGAAAAAAUUAGGAACUUGUGAUAUUAAACAGUCAUGAUCGAUUGCAUGUCAUUAAGGUUAAUGAGAAGUUUAAAGUGAAUUUACUUCUAAAUAUAUGUCACGACCCAACCCCGUAGACCGUGACUAGUGCCCUACUUGGGCACCCUGACGUACCUACCCAUAUCGAAUCUCAUACAAACAGCAUAUAUGGCUAUAACUGCUAUAUGCCGUCUCAAACCACAUCAAACUGUAUUAGACACAUUUCAGCGCAAACAUAUACAUAUACAUAUAUCAAAAAGCCGGCAAGGCUAUCAAACAUGUCAGAAGCCAACAAGGCUAUCAAAUGGCGCAGCGGCCCAAAACAUAUACAAAGUGCACGCCGACAAGGCUGCCAUAACGAAUAGAAUCAUGUAAACACAACUGAACAGGAGCAGGCACACACACCCACAAAUACGUCUACAGACCUCUAACGGACCAAACGGAUCAUAUGGCGGGACAGGGCCCCGCCGCACCCCGGAACUGUCACACCCCGACCUUACUAGGGUGUGAUGGGCACCCGACCCCAUAUCUGGAGCCGAGCGAACCCGCUAACUCUUAUUACAUAAAUAAACUCUUGUAUCAAUCAAGAAUAGAAUACAUAGUAAGCUCUAAAUUUUUUUCUUCUUUUCAUAAGUACAGUCUAUCAUCAUGUGGGACCCGUGAUAGGAAACAUAAUAACAUAUUGGCUGGCGAAACCGUCUACAAAGCUGACACUCUAUACCCACGACUCUGUCUGCAAAGUAUCUAACAUCGAACAAAACAUCGUGGCUCAUAUACUCUGACUCGGCAGCACUCCAGAACAAGUGGAGUCUACCAACCCUGCUGGAACAUCUCCUAUGCUAGCUUCAACUCGUCUGGGUGUACCUGCGCGGCAUGAACGCAGCCCCCGAAAAAGAGGGAUCAGUACGAACAAUGUACUGAGUAUGUAAGGCAAGAGUAAUAACAUAAGAUCAUGGUAGAAGACAUAGAGAAUAGUAUAUGGUAAGAACAUAACUUGUACCUCUGUUUGCCUCUUAAGGCAGAUAUCAUGUAAGCUAACUUUCCCUUUUUGAAACGACAUAUAAAUAUUCACAUGUAAACUGCCCAACCAUAUAGGCACGGUGUACUUUUGUCUGAGCAUAUCAUGGGACAAAGAGUAAUCUGAACAUAUGAGUGCCCCUGAGGGCGGAUGCCAUGCAUGCUUUAUCUGGUCACGGCAUAUCAUGUCGUGUCAUAUCAUAUCAUGUCAUAUCAUAUCAAAUCAUAUCAUGUAAUGUCAUAUCAUAUCAUAUCAUAUCAUAUCAUGUCAUGUCAUAUCAUAGCACCGAACAAUGUCGGCUCGCCCACAUAGCGCCGAAAUACGUCGGCUCGCCCAUAUAUCCCGCGUCCGGGCAUCCCGCGUCUGGGAUGAUAACGCCAGCUGACCAGGUGGCAAUGAAACAUGUUUCCCUUCCCAUUUCCCCAUGUAUCCCUUCCCCCACCCCAUGUACAUAUUCAUAUCUCAUAUACUUAUGUCAUAUAAACAUGCAGGAGAGCCCAAAAAAAAUCAUGUAUCCAUCGGAGUGACAUAAGGUCGGUGACCUCCGAUUACAUUAUGAAACAAUCGUGAUCGCUUUGUCUCACCUUGAAGGAACGAGUAUUUUAAGGCGAGACUAUCAACGGAGAAUAGCGUUGAAAGAAACAUAGAAUGAAGUCAUGGAUGUCAUAGAAAUCAAUUCAUCUGCUUUGGAAUCUUUAGAAGAUAGUGUCAUAACUAAGGAUUAGGAUUUAAGGUCAAGAUCUAGUUUGUUACUUUCAUACUCAUAUUGAAUCCUUAGCUCAAGACUCUUAGUCAUGGAAUCAUUCUUGUCAUACUUAUCAUAGACAUAUUCUCGUCCUUACAUCAUCGUUAUCAUUAUCAUCAUAGAAAUAUUCUCAUUAGAAUAGUUGCAGUACUUGUCACUUGAUAACGGAGCGAUAAGAAAAUCCGGGAACAAUGGGCCCACCUCAGGUCAAAUGAGGCGGCGUACCAAAUUUACGUACAUUACCUUUCAUGACGUCACUUGUGAGAGUUUUAAGGUAGUCGGGUCAUAUUUAUGCAAGUUCUAGAUGUUUAGGAGGUUUUUCCAGCAUUUCGCACCCUUUCUAUUUCAAUUCUACUGAAUGAAAAAGGGGAAACUUUAGGUGCGGAUUCCGGAGAAUAGAGUUGUCCCCUAGGUUCAUAUCCAACCUAGUAUGUCUAAGAUAUGCCAAAGAAGAAAGGAUAAAACCUUACAUACCUUUUUCCUCUCCUCAUGCUACUCCAAAUUCAAGUUGCAAAUCCGCCAAAAUCUACAAUUUGGUCACAUUUACCAAACCUUGAUUAGAACAUUUAGAAGUGGAAUCUUAAGGUAACAUUUGUCUACCGAAAUUUCGGCAGCACUUCCCCUAUAAAUACACCAUCUCCAAAACUUCAACUUAACCAAUUUUAACCAACAACAAUCCGGGAAUUCAACCCGGCCAAACGAUCAACAAUACCAACAAUUUUUCUAGCAACAUUUCAAUAUCCAAUUCUAUUCAAUUCAAUUCACAUAACUUUCAACAACACAAUCAACAUAUUACUUUACCCGAAACCUUCCAAUUCAACAACAACAAUGUAUAUCAUCAUAAUUCGUGUAUGCUAACUCCAACAACAACCUUCAUUCUUCAUCACAUAAUCCGUAACGGCGACAACUAGAAUGUCAAAUAACAUCAAUUUUCGUUAACUUACCAAAACACCUAUUAAUUGACCAUAACCACUUCUUACAUAUUUUCAUGCAUUUUCAUCCAUCACUAGACAUUUCCACAACAAUAACAUACUACAUAAAAUCAACUCGUUCUUCUCAUGCACACAAAGCACACAUACGACCAACUCAUGCAACAUAAUACUUGGCUACAACUAUCAUCCACAACUCGACAAUCAAAUUACUAAAUAACAUUAAUUCAUCAUUUCAAUACAACAUCACACAUAUAUUCGGCCAACAUACAAAUCACAUAUUUUCACUUAGUUCAUUCAUUCCUUCAACCUACAACAUAUAUGAACCAUCCACAACACACAAAAGAGAUGAAAGCUUACCUUUUUUUCUUCAACUUCUCUCUUGGCAUAGGGUUCCCAUCUUGCACCACAAGUGUUCUACCUCCUCCAACAAUCACUCCAUGUUGUAGAGGACCUCCAAAUGAGCUACAAUAUUAGGAGGACACCUAUUCUGCUAUUCUGGAGCGCUCUUUUGUCCAGAGCCUAUACUCUGGUACAGUCUGCUGCUGUUGUAUAUAUGUACGCUAUUCAGGGGUACGACGGGGCCCUGUCCCGUCUUAUGAUUCUGUUAUGUUCUGUAGAGAUCUGUAGACAUACAUGUGGGUUCUGUAUAUGUUUUGGGUUGCUAUGAUUUGUGAUAGCCUUAUCGGCUUCCAUGUGCUAUAUAUGUUCCUCUGUGACACUAGUAACGUCGACUGACUUUUAUAUUUAUAUAAUCUGCUAGUCUGCUGGUUUGGGUUAUUGGGUACGUUUGGGUGUCCAGCACGGACACUAGUCACGGCCUACGGGGUUGGGUCGUGACAAAAGUGGUAUCAGAGCGGUUUAUCCUCGGAAUGUCUACAGACCGUGUCUAGUAGAGUCUUGUUUAUCGGUGUGUUGUGCACCACAUCUAUAAACAGAAGGCUACAGGACAUCUAGGGUGUUACCUUCUUUGAAUCUUAGAUCGUGCGAUAGAGCCCGCUGUAGGAAAUGAAUUCCUUUUUUUUCUAACCUCUGAUUUCAGCUGGAGAACGGUAUCGACGUAAGACAGCGACUGAUGAUAUUGGAAGCUACACAGUACACAGGUAAGUAAUGGUAUGAAAGAUGUAUGCUGGGUAAGGUGUUUGAAAUACGAUUGAAACACGAAGCUGAAGAUUGAAAAGAAAAAAAAUAAACAGGAAAGUGUAGUAGGUGCAGUUUGAGUUGGGCAUGUGAGGUAAGCCUCGGCAUCUUUAUACUUUUAUUUGAAAUUGUUAGCCCCGUGUGGCUAUGAUGCGAUAUGAUAUGAUACGUAUGUACGUAUAUAUGUUGGCCCUGUGAGGCAUGGUUGGUAUUUCCUGUGUACAGGUUUUGGGAUAGUAAGAAAUACAGAGGAACCUCUGCCCAAAUUUUUCUAGGAAUAUAAAGAGGAAAAUGAGAUAUAAAUUCUUAACAUAUCUUGAGGGUCGAUACCGAUAGGGCAAACCCAUUAUGUUGGAUUAAAGUUUAUGAGAUACCCUCCAUAGCAUUCGUAAGAAGCAUUAUCUUUGUUUGGAAAAUUUUAUCUCGAGAAAGCAUAUACGAGUAGCAAAUUCGCAAUUUAUUUAAAUGGACCAGAAAUAUGUUCCAACCCCAUUUUGCUUUAGCACAGCCCAUGUGAAGGGCAAAAAUAUGUGGAAGGGCAAAAAUGUCCAACGAUUAAGUUUCCUCUAAUUGGAAGGAUACAAAGUGUAUGACAGACAGUUGGGAAUUGAGUGGUUCGCUCACGACUCAAAUAUAUAUAUAUAUAUAUAUAUAUAUAUAUAUAUGGAGGUAAUUAUGUGAAUUAAGUACUAAAAGAUUCCGCGAAGUUCGUCGGACUCUAGUUUUCUUUUGCUGGUGGUCGGAAGAUGCCUUAUAGAAACAUUCCAUCAGUUUUCAUCGACGGAUUGGAGAUGGAAUUUGUGGAAUAAAAACUUAAACUCGUGGGCGGUCUAGAAUUUCAUAUAUAUAUACAUGAAGGUAAAUAUUGAGGAUUUACAGGGGGCGACAUGGUAACUAUAUAGUCAGAAAAGUAAAAGAAUCCCCUCUAAGUCGGGGUGGGACCCGCUAUGAGGGUGUUUUGAAAGUUGUUAAGACCCCGAUUUGCCUUAAAUUACGUGACAAAGGACGUGCGGGGCAAUUGGUGUAAUUAUAUCGGCCCUAACGUGCCUAAAUGCAUUAAAGUUGUAAGGUUAAGCGUGCUAGGGCCAGAGCAAUUCUGGGAUGGGUGACCCCCUGGGAAGUAAACUAAAAUUUUCACAAGUAUAGGAAUAAGGGACGAAUGGGAAAUUUGAGGUAACUUAAAGGAAAUUAGGAUAUGCGGAGUUAUUAGAAACCCUCAAGAAGUCGGGUAGACUAAGACAAGAUAAGCUGGUGAGGAAGAAGAUAGCGCAAUGCAGCUUGGGAAUGAGAGUAAGUUUGAAUAAGCAUUUGGAAAUUGUUUUGUAAGCAAAAUGGUAGUAAAUGUGUAUGUGUGCAUAUGACACCCCAUUCAUGAUUGUACCGACCGACAGGUGGACCUCAGCAGCCAGUGUCGCGAGGUAUGAAAGAUAUUAACUGAACAGAAUUUGAGAGACAAAGCGAAAGACAUGGUACAGAUAUUACAAGUAAACUGACACUAGUUCCGUCGCCAGCUAAGGCCGGGACGUUCUAGCACAAUGAUGUUCGGAAAUAGAAAGAAAACGAGUACGUAAAAGGAGGAUAGUAAUAGUAACGUUUGGGAAAUUUUGAAGGAAAGAAAGAGACCUCUCCGACGUAUUAUAAUACCCCAUAAGGCUAGUUGAACAUUCGAGGACGAAUGUUCUAAAGGGGGGGAGGAUGUUACAUCCCGUAUUUUUGAACGUCGGAUUAAUUGUAAGUUAAGGUGGGGCCCACACAUCAAAUUUUUUUUUUUGGGACAUGUGACAAAUUAUAUGAAUCACAUAUGUGAAGUUAAACACAACUCAUGAAGUACCCUUGGUCCAAAUCAAAGUGGAAGCCCUCCAAACGAAUAUUUUUAAGAAAACGUUUUCGGAUGACCUGACUUGGAGGGGCAAAAACGGUAUUAUAAGUUUGGAAUUUGGAAAUAUACCAAGAAAUAGAAGUUGUAGAUAAUUGAAUUAGCUUUCCAUCCAUAGGUCGUGGGUUCCAAGGUGACGUCGGUACAAGGAGAUAUGAACGUUUUAAGGUCGAAAGGUCAGUGGGCUAGGCCCAACUCGGGACCAACCGAAUUGGCCCAAAAAAAUGAAAAGAAAAAUUCAGGCCCAAGUGAGGAGGUGGCCGGCCAUGGUCCUUAAUAAAGGACCCAAGCCCAUUUAAAUUAGUCAUGUGAUUAAUAAUAAAAAGGGGCUAAGUCUUCAUUUUCAACCAAGAACAUUCAUGAAGCAAAGAAGAGAAAAACAAACACAAAGAAGAGCAAAAAUAAGGCCAUUUCGGGUUUGGCCAUAGAAAAAUCACCCCUCAAAAUCUUGCCUCUAAAAUUAUUUUCUUGUUGAAUUCCUACUAAAUUAAGUGUCCUCUACAACUUGGUGUAGUUGUUUUGGAAGAAGGAGCACUUAUUUCUUCAAGUUGACAACUUGUUCAAGUGAAGAAGUUUGUAGAAAAAGAUUUUGGGCGAAACGGGAAUUGAAUUUGGAAAGGCGUAAAGAGCAUACAAGGUACAGACUACAGAUUUGCUGACCCACCUGCCUAGGACACCUAUUCUGCUAUUCUGGAGCGCUCUUUUGUCCAGAACCUAUACUCUGGUACAGUCUGCUGCUGUUGUAUAUAUGUACGCUAUUCAGGGGUACGACGGGGCCCUGUCCCGUCUUAUGAUUCUGUUAUGUUCUGUAGAGGUCUGUAGACAUACAUGUGGGUUCUGUAUAUGUUUUGGGUUGCUAUGAUUUGUGAUAGCCUUAUCGGCUUCCAUGUGCUAUAUAUAUUCCUCUGUGACACUAGUAACGUC